AGCACAAGGGCUGCUUUAAGAUCGCUUAUAAAGAGGGCUAGUACUCAUUGUAGUGAGGAGAAGGGAUAUAAGAAGGAGAUAAGUUUGAUAGAAGAAAUAGCAAUGAAACAUGGUUAUAAGCAGAGCCUGAUAUCUAAACUGAUAAAAGAAUCAAAACCUAGGAGACAGGGUACUGAGACCAUGGGUAUUGAAAUUAAUAAUGAAGCGAACAUGAACCAGCAGCGAGAACAGCGCCACCUACACCGUAGUACCAGAAGCUAUAAGAGACUUUCUAAUGGUCAAGAACAUCUUGAGGGAAAAAGGAAAUAAGUGUACAUAUAAAAGACUCCCUACGGUCUUUAAUGUGCUAAGAAACGAGAAAUAUACGAGAAGUGAAUAUGAAAAAACAGGCAUAUAUCAAAUUCCCUUCUGGGAUUGGCAGGUGAGGGACAGAAGAGCUAUACAUAAGAGCCACAACAAGAAAUCUCAAAGAUAGGCUGAAGGAACAUAGAAGAGACCUAAAAAAGCCAAUUUGACAACGGCUUUAGCUAGGAGAGCCGACAAGAAUGACAUUAAUAUCAAAUGGGAAGAUUUGAAAAUAAUUAAGCUGGUAAAUUCUUUUGAAAAACUAACUACAGCAGAGACCUUGCAGAUUUA
rnacentral:lncRNA from 1 species